GCAAGUCGUGCGAGAACGUUUUCUUCGGAAAAUUAGUAGAGCGGCGCACGGGUGAGUAACGCGUGGAUAAUCUCCCCAGAAGAUCGGGAUAACAGUUGGAAACGGCUGCUAAUACCGGAUACGCUUCAUAUUUAACUUUAUGAGGGAAAGAGGGCCUCUGUUUCAAGCUUUCACUUUUGGAUGAGUCCGCGUUUCAUUAGCUAGUUGGUAAGGUAACGGCUUACCAAGGCGACGAUGAAUAGCUGGUCUGAGAGGAUGACC
rnacentral:rRNA from 1 species